rnacentral:rRNA from 1 species
UACGGAGGAUCCGAGCGUUAUCCGGAUUUAUUGGGUUUAAAGGGCGUGUAGGCGGGUUUGCAAGUCGGAUGUGAAAGAUCAAGGCUCAACCUUGACAGGCCAUUCGAAACUGUGGGACUUGAGUGUCAGAGGGGAAAGUGGAAUUCCUAGUGGAGCGGUAAAAUGCGCAGAUAUUAGGAGGAACACCGGUGGCGAAGGCGACUUUCUGGAUGACAACUGACGCUGAGGCGCGAAAGCGUGGGAAGCAAACAGGAUUAGAUACCCGGGUAGUCCCUGA